CAGACACUGAAAAAUACUGAGAAAAUUGUUGAGUUAGGACUUUAUGCGAAAAUGAGAAAAAGGAUGAUUGAACAUACUCUGAAAUGAAAAUAAUGUAUAGUUUCUUCACAUUCCUAAAAGGACAUUUUAUCCAGGCCAGAGCCAAGCAACCUGAGGACGUGUGACCUUUGACCCAUACAUAGGCCAGCCUCAAUGCCCCAGGCUGAGCCCCGGCUUAACUGUCACAGAACACUGGGAAAGUUCUUAACUGUCACUGACAAGGGGUCCGGCCACAUCUCUCGAUGUAUCUAAAGGAGCAGGGGCUCUGGAGGAGCCUUUGAAACCAAUGUAUAUUCAGAUUUCUUCUGGACUGAGUGUCCCCAAAAGAAACCCGACUGAAGGAAAAAGCACAGAAGCCCUGAGAGAAAAAAUCCUCGUGAACGAAGAAGUUUAGUCAGAUGGAUAUGAUAGAGCAGCAGUGCUUGUCUGCCAGACAGCAGGGACACGGGGCUCAGGGAGAAGCUGAUCUUGAACGUGACUGACUGCCCAGCUGUCCACUCCACCUCCCCUCCCCCGGAGGAGGAGCAUGCGCAGAAAGGAAAGGGUGACGGCAUAAUGGAACAAUCCGUGUCACAUGCACUCCAUAACAACGGAGGAGUAACCCAAGGGAGACAGAGAUGGGGGGGCGGGGGGGGGGCUCUGUGAGGGGUAAAUGAACUGGAUGGGAGCGGAGGAGCUGCCAAGCACAAGGGUCCUGCUUUUACAAUGGAAGGUGCUCCAGAAGCCACGUGAUCUAGCUAGACGCAAAGGGGUCCUUGCAUUACAAAUGGAAACACUCAGACAUCCUGAGCAAUAUUUUGAAAGAGGGAUCAUGGGGAUGAGGCAGAAUUUUUGAUGAGAAAAGGGGUGGGAGGAGGAAGAACUUCAGGGUUGCUGCAAAUGUGCAGUGUCUGCACUCAACGGCAAAUGAAACUGACCGUAGACUAUGAAGACCAAGCAGUGGGUGCUCCUGUGAAUAUCUGGAAAUCUUCUCACGGUGGGAUCGCUGUGUGUUGCAGGACCCAGAUAACAGGAGUAAGCUCACAGAAAGAAAGAUCUGGGCACCAUGGACAGGAUGCUGGACUCUGAAGUCAGCUAAAAGGGAGGAGUUGAUACCAUUAAGUGUACAGAGACUUGCCCAGAGAUUGGAAAUUUGGGUUUUCAGUAGAGUGAGACCCUUAGAAUAGAAGUACAUGCCUCGAUGAUACUAGGCAGAGCUCAUAGCUUCUAUUUCGUUUCUUUUUUUUUUUUGUCUUCACAGAACAGAUUAUUAAAAUUUUUAUUUAGUUAUUUAAAAAAUUCAAAGAGAAUAAAAGUCAUUUCUUCCCACAAAUACCAAAUUUAAAUGUAGACAAUCUACAUAGAGAAGUACAGAGAAAGUAUCAGGAAAAAUUCAAAGAAGUUAAAGCAAUUUGUAAUUUAAUUACCCUGGAAAUUCUGUAGCUUUGUUGGAGACAGUGUAGUCCUCUAAUCUCUUGCUAGUUUUGACUUGUAAAUUACUGUAAAAAGACUAGUCUUUUGUCCUUAGCUCAACAUUUUAUCUUUAUUUUUAAAAGUACAAAUAAAAUUACCUUGGAAGUUGGAUC
rnacentral:lncRNA from 1 species